rnacentral:rRNA from 2 species
GUGCCAGCAGCCGCGGUAAUACGGAGGGUGCGAGCGUUAAUCGGAAUUACUGGGCGUAAAGCGCGCGUAGGCGGUUUUGUAAGUCGGAUGUGAAAUCCCCGGGCUUAACCUGGGAACUGCGUUCGAUACUGCUUAACUAGAGUAUGGUAGAGGGAAGUGGAAUUUCCGGUGUAGCGGCGAAAUGCGUAGAUAUCGGAAGGAACACCAGUGGCGAAGGCGACUUCCUGGGCCAAUACUGACGCUGAGGCGCGAAAGCGUGGGGAGCAAACAGGAUUAGAUACCCUGGUAGUCCACGCCGUAAACGAUGAGAACUAGAUGUCGGGAGGAUCUGCCUUUCGGUGUCGCAGCUAACGCGUUAAGUUCUCCGCCUGGGGAGUACGCCGGCAACGGUAAAACUCAAAGGAAUUGACGGGGACCCGCACAAGCGGUGGAGCAUGUGGUUUAAUUCGAUGCAACGCGAAGAACCUUACCAGCCCUUGACAUCCU